CAGAGUUCUGUAUCUGAAACUUGUCUGUGACCUUAUGGCUCAGAAGGUGGCCAGGGUGACCUUCACUGAGAUGUCUGCAGAGGAAUCCUCAUGGAUCGGUCUCUUUUCAAUCCCUGUCGGAGGCAUCCGGGCCUCAUAGAGGAAGCCCUGGUGCCUGCCUCGGGGCAGCUGCGGUGGGAGCUGCAGCUUCUGUUGCUGUGCAGGUUCCAAGCAGCCUCCGGUGCUCAGCUGGGAAGUGUCUCUGGGGCACAAACCUGCGGAGGGAGCUGGGCCCUCAGGACUGCUGGCACUGCUCACCGAGCCUCCUUGCAAAGGGGAUCUAGGGUGAUCCACAGUCAGAGGCACCUCAGGUUCACACCUUUGUGUGCACUUUGCAACUUUUUGUUAUGGAAAAAAAAUGACCUUUCUGGAACCCAGAUUUCACUGUAACUGUUGGAAGGGUUUAACUAUUGCAGCAUUCUAAGGCAGUUUGUUUAAUAUGAAGAGUAUUUGUUUUAAAGCCUCCUGGUUCUCCAGCCUGGGUGUUGUGACUUUGUGAAAAACAUAUUCACUCUCCUGUGAAAAUUUAAAAAGUUUAAUAAAGGACAAGAGGAGACAAGGACCAUAGAGCAAAGGUUAUUACAGCCAGGUGCAUCUUAGCACUCAGGCAAGACCAUACUGUGAGAAACAACAGUUCACUUAAAAAAUUUAAAGGCUUUAUUAAACCUUAACAAAAAUACAACAAAAGGACUAAAUAAGGAAAUGCAGACCUGAGAACUGCCCUCAUGGAUGCCCAGCACAUAGCUGGCUCCUCUUCAAGAUGGAUGCUUCACCUUUUAUAUCUCUAGCCCCUCCUAGGGCCUUGUCAGUCAACUCCUUCCUUGCUGUCCAGUGGUAGAAGUCACUUUCUCACAUUCUGAUUAGUGGUCAGGUGCUGCCACAGUAACAAGCCAGCCUUCCCAAAUCUGCGCGUUAGCAAAACUAUCGCAUGAUAAAACAUACUAGGGAGAGGACCUUGCAGUAACAUAACUAUACAUUUAUAAAACUUCUUUUGCUGUUUACACCUUAAUUGUGAGAGCCAGCCAUUUAUGCAUCUAUAACAACACUGUCACCUUUGGGGCUACCCCUUAAAUACCUUUUCCAUUACAUCAGCUAUUUGCAUAUUCAUAGACAUGUAUGCAUAUUCAUAAACUAAUUUACAUAUCUCAGGGACUGUUUUACAUGGGCUCUUCUUGGGUCCACCUUUUUAGAGCAUGUGUGUUUCUUGGCUGUGGUUUUGUGACCUUCUGUUUAUCACUUCCAUCUUGUGGUUGGGUUCAUACUGUCUUCAGAUGGUGAGUGCUGAUAAUUGGCAUAUCUGUAGAGGUGUCCUCAUCCUAUGUUCAUUGGAUGUUAUCUCAUCCAAGUAGGCAUUUUAACACAAACAUAGCUAUUUCACUACUAUGUCUAAGCUUAAUUAACAACAGAAAUAAAAACUAUAUAACAAAGUUACUUUAACAACACACAUAUAAAAUCCAUUUUAAUAUUUGCGAAAAACCAAUAUUAAAAUAUGUGUCAAUAACGAUGCUCCAUGGAGAGCGUCUUUGUGUGUUAGUGUGAGUCUGCCCAUCACAGACGGAUCAUUGCCACUGGGUGUCAUAAAACCAACUCCAUGGGAAAACAGUGCCAUCUUCAAAGAGCAAUAAUUCUUCCUUUUUCUUCCCUACAUGUUUAAGGAGCUCAGGUUCUUGCAAAAGAACUUACUCUGUGAACAAAAAACAAAGGGCCAUCCAGCUUCUGCCAGUUUUUUCUUAGUUUUCCAAGCACUUUUCUGACAGCCUGGGAAAAUGGUCUCUGGCAGGUGAAAAUCCGUGGGAUUGAGACUCUAUACCUUGAGGCCUUGGAUUUUUCAUUCAGUCUUUGACCUUGAGCUGGAUUUUUCCUUUCUUCAUCUCUUUUUGUUUUAAAAUUGCCCUUGUAUCAGAAAAUGCCAUGAUCCAAAUGCAGUUUCUGUAAGGGUGAGUGUGAUUCUAAGACAUAGGUUAGGAAUUAGAGGGGUAUUGAUUAGAAAUAGAUAUUUAGAUGAAAUAUUGUUUAAUAUUUGUUGCAUUUUACUGUGCUAACUUCCUGUAAAGGGAAAACAGGGUGUACGUGGGGGACAGGGCAUACGUGCGAGUGUAACAUGAAAGAAUGCAAGGACGUGUCAUAAGGGAAGGAUGAUGUUCAUCAAAACAGGACAAAGUUACAAGACUACCAAGACAACAAGGCUCCUCUGGACGCCCAAACCAGAUCAAACCAAUCUCAUGUGACCAAAGGAUCAGUAAUCAUGUGCAAGAAGACGGGAUGAGAAGGUCAGCUGUGAUGGAACCUACUUACUUCAUCCCCCUGCGAACCCCAAGGACCCCCAAGACGACCACCAGAGACAAGUAUGCAGGUGCAAGGGGCUGUUAACACAUGAAGCAGAGAAGGUAGAGCCAGGAAAUGAAUAUGCAUAAAUGUAUGGCAAACUUAAUGUAUAUGUAACAUUUUAGAGGAUAAAAAAGAAUGCUGAGAGCGAGUAGAUGUGCGUGCCUUUGCGGAAGUAUCUGGCAUGCAACCGGCCAAAAAAUACAUACCUACUUUAUAACUCACUUUGUCUUUGAGUUUUAGAGUCUUUCCAUGUAUCAUUUUGGCAUCUCUGGUGGGAUGUUCUCUGGCAGCCAUAGGACAGACUGAGCAGUGGACUUCCUAAGGUGCACCCCUGGGAUUUUCCCUUGGAAAGGAUUCCGCUUCUCGGAUCGCUCACAGUGGGGACAGACAACCUCCUGGGCAGCGGAGAAAUGGAUGCAAAUUGGAAUCCAAAUGACUCUGGGCAACUGGUAAAAAUGCUGCUCAGAAUGCUUUAUUCCAAACACCUGAUGGUAUCACCCCACAACAAAGUUUUGCAGACAUGCAUCAGAGUAUUGAUGAGACAUUUAUUAAAUUCAUAGACAGACUAAAAGACACUAUUGAUAAGCAGGUCGAUUGGCCAAGGGCUAGAGAAGAGCUGCUCAGUAAACUAGCAGUGUCCAACUCAAAUGGAAUGCAAGAAAAUUUUGAAACCAUUCCCUCCAGACCCUGAAAUCACCAUUCAGCAAAUGGUGGAAGCCUGUACCCAUCUCACAACUACAGAACAUAUAGUUGCCCUGGCAGCCAGCAAAGGAGUAGCUGAACCUUUGUGGCACAAAAUCAACAAAAUGUUAGAUGCUGUAAGUGUCAUGAACUAGGCCACCUCAAGGUAGAACAUGAUAAAGACUUUUUACAGAAACACCCCUCCACUGGUUGUCCGUCCACUGCAUGCCUAGACUGUCAAGAACAUUUUAAACACUGUCCCCAGUUUCAAUACCACCAGCAGGUUCAGCAUCAUCUGUCCUACCAGAAACACCAGGGAAACUUCCACCAGAGCGCAGGGCAUCUCUGCACGACAACAUCAAAUGCCAAGCCAUUCUGUCCCUCUUUCCCCACCAUCCUGGAAAGUCAAGGCUUUCCAAAAGACUGUCUGUGACAGUGAGAAAGAGCUCAGACUCUCUGAGAUGUACCAAGAUGUUCAGGCAGGGACACUGUGCACACUGGUGAGCACCCUUUCCAUCCGGUUUGAUGAUGAGGUGAUCUACCAAAUUCCAGCUGCUAAAUUUGGACCUUCUCAUGGACCAAGGGACAUCUUAAUCACAGGGGACUCUGUUAACGGACUGACAAUUUGCAAGUACUUCUGGAACUUCAAACUGUGGGAUCAAGGGAUGAAAUUACUGUGACUGUCUCAUGUAUAGAUCCACCUUGUUUUUUUUUUCUAAGGGCACACCCAUUGCCCAAGCUUUCCUCAUACCCACCUGGACUGACAUUUUGCGGUAAACCCUAUGGUAUUUUGGGCAGAGAUUGUGGGCCAAGACAGGCCUUUUACAGAAUGUGGCUUGUUUAACAAAGGGGACAAAGUUUAUCUUCCAGGAGUAGCAGAUACUGGAACAGACGUGACCAUCAUUGCCACAGGUCUGGGACCUAGUACCAGCCAGUGGAGUAAUCUCUGGGAUUGGAGGAGCUGCCACCUCUAUGCAGAGCAAAUGGAAAAUCCUUAUUGAAGGACCUGAGGGUCAGAUAGCUACAGUAAGACUUUUCAUGGUAAGGGCACCUGUCAUCUUAUGGGGUAGAGACCUAUUGUCUCAACGAAGAACAAAGCUAGAAAUCCCCUCACCAUCCCGGAAUUUCUAGCUGGGGCCACUGUGGAGCGCCCUACCACACCACUCACAUGGAAAACUGAUGAAACAGUGUGGGUUGAUCAGUGGCCCCUUUCAGAAGUAAAGUUAAAGGCACUUGAAUCCCUACAGGAGCAAUUGUCCAAGGGCCACAUAGUACCAUUCACUAGGCCUUGGAACACCCCUGUCUUUGUCAUUGGUAAACCAGGCAAAGACAAGGGGAGGCUCCUGCAAGACCUCAGGAAGGUCAAUGAGGUCACUGAAGACAUAGGCUCUCUGCAGCCCAGCCUACCCUCACCCUCAGUGCUUCCAAGAGAUUGGAAACUGGCAGUCAUUGAUAUCAGAGAUUGCUUUUUUAACAUCCCUCUCCAUCCCAGAGAUGUCCCAAGAUUUGCGUUUUCUGUGCUAUCAAUUAAUAGACAAGCCCCUCUAAAAAGGUAUCAAUGGGAAGUUCUUCCUCAAGGGAUGAAAAAUCCCCCAGCUAUCUGCCAAAUGUUUGUUGCCUGCAUUCUCUCACCCAUUCAAGAAUAAUUCCCUGAUGCCACAAUUUUUCACUCUAUGAAUGAUAUUUUAAUAUGCAUUGAGAAUGACUAUUAUUUGGAGAUUGUUCUAAAAAAGACUACUCAAGCCAUUGAAGGAGCAGGAUUUGAAAUUGCUACAGAGAAGAUUCAGUGCCCCUGCCCGUGGACCUACCUUGGACUCUAAAUCGGUGAAAGGACCACCGUACCCCAGCAGCUCACCAUCAAGGACAACCCAGGUACCUUGAGAGACCUUCAUCAGCUAUGUGGGAGCAUAAACUGGGUUCACCCACUGCUAGGGAUCACAACCGAGGACCUUGCACCCCUUUUCAACCUCCUGAGAGGCUGCAAUGACCCAAACAAUCACACCAGAAGCCCAGGUAGUGAUCCAAAAGGUAUCAGAGGCACUUUCCACAAGACAAGCCCACCAUGCUGAUCCUACUCUGCCUUUCCAAUUUGUCAUCUUGGGUAAGUCACCCAAGUUUCAUGGGCUCAUUUUCCAGUGGGACCCCACUCUGAAGGAUCAGCUUUUAAUCAUAGAGUGUCUGUUCCGAUCACCCCAACCACAUAAGAACAUCACUACAUCCCAAGAGCUGUUGGCUCAGCUCAUUAUAAAAGCCAGAUCACACCUCAAAACCCUGGCGGGGUGUGAGUUCACAUGCACUUACCUUCCAUUGACAUCAGGUGAUCUGGAAGCUUUGUUCCAGACCACUGAACGCCUCCAGUUUGCUCUUGACAGCUACCAAGGUCAAAUCUCUGUCCACCUACAGAAACAUAAACUGUUUAAUGAGUGUUUUAAUUUGGUCCCAAAAUCAUUAGAGUCAAACUCCUUUAAAGGCACUGUUUUUACUGAUGGCUCUGGAAAAUCCCACAAGUUAUGACUUGGAAAAAUCUGAGGGACAAAAUCUCACUCUGGAGUGGGAGUCUGAUCUUCAAAUUGUUCAGGGAUCCCCACAAAUUGCAGAAUUAGCAGCCGUUCUCAGAGCCUUUGAGAAGUUCAAACAACCCUUGAAUCUGGUUACUGAUUUGGCCUGUGUUGCUGGGAUAGUUGAAAGAACAGAACAUUCUUUGUUAAAGGAAGUGCCAAAUCCAGAUCUGUACAGCUUGCUUUCGAAGUUAAUAUACCUCCUCUCCCACCGAGAGCAACCAUAUCACAUUAGGCAUGUGAGGUCCCACACUGACCUCCCAGGAUCAGUUACAGAGGCCAACCGGAGAGCAAAUAAUUUAGCCAUGGCAGUGCAGACCACCCUACCACACAUUUUUAAUCAGGCUAAAUUGAGCCAUCAGUUUUUUCACCCAAAUGCACCAGCCCCUGUCCGUAUGUUUAAAAUCACAAGGGAACAGGCAAGAGCAAUUGUGGGCUCUUACCCCAGUUACCAGGAGUUUGUUUUGCCCUCCAUGAGGGCUGAGGUUAACCCCCAGAGGUACCCAAAGCUACCACUUAAAUCACAGGGAAGGGUGGGUGUAGAAUACUAAAACCUGUCAAGUUUUUAUAGGUGUUGGUACAUAAUAGGAAUUUGUCUCUAAAUUCAUUUGGAAAGAAGCCCUCUGUUGUGGUGUGUUUUUUGUUUUAUUAGUAGGUUUAUUUGAUUUGUAAUUUUGUAGUUCUUAUGCUGUUUCCUUUUUGUUUCUGCCCUUUUCCCAGAACUUUUGUCACUUUUUCUGUUAUUAGAUCCCAGUUCCUUUUUGAACCUGCCUUCUUUUGAGAAACUUCCCUGUCAGUUUUGUAUUUCUCCAAACUUUAUUAGUUCACUGAGAUUGUUCUCCUUCCUUGGGAUUCUUUAUUGGUUUAUACAUUGUAUUCCCUGCCUUGUUUUUACGGCCAAUUCUCCCGAUUUGUUAAAGAUUGUAUCCUCCCCUUGGGAUCAGCCCCCAUAUAUGAGCUCCCAUCUGCCCCCUGUUCGGGGUCCUGGGAUGAGGAAGAGGGGAAGAUUUACCAUCAAAUAAAGUUACCCUGGGACUGGUGUGCUGCUCUGUUGCUCUGUUUUUUAUGCUGCGCCGGCACUGGUAACUGGGAUUCAACAGCA